GGGGAUGUAGCUCAGUGGUAGAACACUUGCCUAGCAUGCAUGAGGCCCUAGGUUCAAUCCUCAGUUCCA
rnacentral:tRNA from 1 species